UUUACAUGAUGAUACAACAUUUAAUCAGUUCUGCUUCUGAACCAAUGUGAUAGGAUAACACAUACCAAAAUAAUCUGAAAU
rnacentral:snoRNA from 21 species